UGGACCAACUCGAGGGACAGCCUGGAGCCCAAACGGGAGGAUACCUCGACCACGACCUCUUAGCUAUGUGUCCCUCUGCCUUCUUUUGAAGCCUAAAUCUCAUGUCAAAAUGGAUUGAGUUCAACCCACCUCCAUGUUCUGAGCUUGGAUGUUGUCUACUGCACUCACUGGUCAAAGAAAGGACUAGCAGCUCAAAGGCUUUGAGGGAAGAAACGGAGCUAUCUAAAUCUGAAGGCUGAAUUCUGGUGCUGCAGGUCUGCUUGCUUCUGUGGAGUGACCCCAACUGUCUGGAGAGAAGCCCUUAUAUACCCGAGCCUGAGCUGCCAAGUCCUUAUGGAUUGGUUCCCCGGCAAACCCUCCUUAGCACACGCCU